rnacentral:lncRNA from 1 species
CACAUUAGCCAGAGAGAAUCUUCCUGGCAUGAGUCCAGGCUGUCUGCAUGAGUGAAAAGAGAACAUUUUGUAUUCUACCUGCCACGUGAGAAUCUGAGUCAUACUUUCCCAAGUGGUGUUUUUGGAGACAAAUGCCUUGCUAAAAUAGGCUUCCAACUGCGUUCACCUUUAAACCAAAUACUAGCCUGAUCCCUAAAGACUUCUAUUAUAUGACCCCACUCUGCCCUUUCAAACUUAGUUCUCAUGACUC